GAACCAUCAUCGUCUGCGUCACUACUGGGGCAGGAGAGGAAAGACUGUUGUUGUCUCCAGGAACCGAUAAACUGCUUUACAAAGAUCCCCGCAUAGCUUCACUACUACUGUGUUGGUCCAUUUCCAGAAUUGUAAGGAUAAUGCUUUUGCUUAAGGAGAGGCUCAAGAAGAUCAGGGAGCUCCGCAUCCGAGUUUCAGCCAUCCUCUACAGCAAGGAGCUCCGGUCCAAAGGAGCAACCAACGCUGCUAGUUCCUUGAGGCCAGAUCGAGUAAGAUGGCGCACCAUGGCGUGUGGUGGCGUAUUUUGCUUCUGAGAACAAUACUGUUUAUUUGAAGUGAGAUGUACUAGUCUAUGUUGUAGUGAGCUGUAGUAGGAGUGAAAUGAAAAUGUAUCUGUUAUUGUAUGUACAUUUUACUUGAACAUUAAAUUCUCCAGAAAAAAUGUUCUUAUUGGACCUGAUAGUGGCCACGGCCCAAAUAUACUUGUACUAUUAAGAUGCCAUGGCCCAAAAUAACC
rnacentral:rRNA from 1 species